GCCGACCGUCAUCAACCGCCACAGCCGCCAACAUCUACACCGCGCUCACCAUCUCCAGCCGCGCGUUCUUCCUCACCAUCUGUCGACCACCGAAUCGCCGGCAAAACCUCUCAACAUAACCGCUCAACACCCUUCUUCUCCACUUCGACCGUCGAAAUACUCCUCCGAUUCACCUAACAUCUUCCAUCACUUUAACAAGCGUAAUCUCACUGUGAGCAACUCCACUCAGCCGCUCCUUUCCUUCAACAGAAGCUAAAGUCAUCUUCUCCAAUUCAACACUGUUUUUUGUUUUGCUUUCAAAAUUGGGAAGGUUAUAUUUUUUUAUUCUGCUUGGGUGUUAUCUCUUUUCUGCAGGUUGAGUUUAAUUUACUAACCUGAUCGGGAUACCGCAAGGAUGUGAUUCAAUUAGAUGUCGCGAUGUACACGUUUCAGUUAUGAUUUGUUCCUCUUUGGAUCGCCGCUUCGGUUACG
rnacentral:lncRNA from 1 species